CGGACGGGUGAGUAACACGUGAGAAUCUGGCUUCAGGAUGGGGACAACAGCGGGAAACUGCUGCUAAUACCCAAUGUGCCGAGAGGUGAAAGAUUUAUCGCCUGAAGAUGAGCUCGCGGCUGAUUAGCUAGUUGGUAGGGUAAGAGCCUACCAAGGCCAUGAUCAGUAGCUGGACUGAGAGGAUGACCAGUCACACUGGGACUGAGACACGGCCCAGACUCCUACGGGAGGCAGCAGUGGGGAAUUUUCCGCAAUGGGGGCAACCCUGACGGAGCAAUACCGCGUGGGGGAGGAAGGCCCUUGGGUUGUAAACCCCUUUUGUCAGGGAAGAAUACAAUGACGGUACCUGAGGAAUCAGCAUCGGCUAACUCCGUGCCAGCAGCCGCGGUAAUACGGAGGAUGCAAGCGUUAUCCGGAAUGAUUGGGCGUAAAGCGUCCGCAGGUGGCAGUGUAAGUCUGCUGUCAAAGGUCAGGGCUUAACCCUGAACAGGCAGUGGAAACUACACAGCUAGAGUGCGGUGGGGGCAGAGGGAAUUCCCAGUGUAGCGGUGAAAUGCGUAGAGAUUGGGAAGAACACCGGUGGCGAAAGCGCUCUGCUAGGCCGCAACUGACACUCAUGGACGAAAGCUAGGGGAGCGAAUGGGAUUAGAUACCCCAGUAGUCCUAGCCGUAAACGAUGGAUACUAGGCGUAGCUCGUAUCGACCCGAGCUGUGCCGUAGCUAACGCGUUAAGUAUCCCGCCUGGGGAGU
rnacentral:rRNA from 1 species